rnacentral:rRNA from 1 species
CACGUAGGGGGCGAGCGUUGUCCGGAAUUACUGGGCGUAAAGCGCACGCAGGCGGAUGCGCGCGUCGGCUGUGAAAUGCACCGGCUCAACCGGUGCACUGCGGUCGAUACGGCGCAUCUGGAGUGCGGGAGAGGGAAGCGGAAUUCCCGGUGUAGCGGUGAAAUGCGUAGAUAUCGGGAGGAACGCCGGUGGCGAAGGCGGCUUCCUGGCCCGCAACUGACGCUCAUGUGCGAAAGCCAGGGGAGCGAACCGGAUUAGAUACC